rnacentral:rRNA from 1 species
CCUACGGGUGGCAGCAGUGAGGAAUAUUGGUCAAUGGGCGUAAGCCUGAACCAGCCAAGCCGCGUGAGGGAUGAAGGUACUGUGGAUCGUAAACCUCUUUUGUCAGGGAACAAAGACUGGGACGUGUCCUAUUAUGUAUGUACCUUAAGAAUAAGGAUCGGCUAACUCCGUGCCAGCAGCCGCGGUAAUACGGAGGAUCCGAGCGUUAUCCGGAUUUAUUGGGUUUAAAGGGUGCGUAGGCGGUCUUUUAAGUCAGCGGUGAAAGGCUGGGGCUCAACCCCAGAACGGCCGUUGAAACUGGGGGUCGUGAGUGUGUGAGAGGCAUGCGGAAUGCGUGGUGUAGCGGUGAAAUGCAUAGAUAUCGCGCAGAACUCCGAUUGCGAAGGCAGCCUGCC